GUGGGGAAUAUUGGGCAAUGGGGGCAACCCUGACCCAGCGACGCCGCGUGAGGGAAGACGGCCUUCGGGUUGUAAACCUCUUUUGUACGGGAAGAAGGAAGUGACGGUACUGUACGAAUAAGUCCCGGCUAACUACGUGCCAGCAGCCGCGGUAAUACGUAGGGGACGAGCGUUGUCCGGAAUUACUGGGCGUAAAGGGCGCGCAGGCUGUGAUGCAAGUAAGCAGUGAAAUGUCAGGUCUUAACCCGGGCAUGCGGUUGAGACUGCAGUGCUGGAGUGCUGUAGAGGCAAGUAGAAUACCCAGUGUAGCGGUGACAUGCGUAGAUAUUAGGAAGAACACCGGUGGCGAAGGCGACUUGCUGGGCAGCAACUGACGCUGAGGCGCGAAAGCCAGGGGAGCAAACGGGAUUAGAUACCCCGGUAGUCC
rnacentral:rRNA from 1 species